rnacentral:misc_RNA from 1 species
AUUUUUUUUUGCUCUUUUAAUGAACCAUUUAUUGCCCUGUAUUCUGUCUCAAUCUCCAAAAUGCAGUGACAAGAAAUGCAUAAUUUAGUUAGAUAAGUUCAUUUCACCUUUUAGUGACUGUUAUCUCACGUGCUUAGUCUUUUGGCAGAUGAUAAGGAUUGGUAGAAACAUUUGAUUCUUAUGGUUUGCUCAAAAUUUACAUAAUCAGUUUGUUUGACCCAUGUGAAUUGUGAAUAGGUUGCUAUGCUGGCUUUAGGUUUUUUCUUGUUAAAAGGAUUUGCAGUAUUUAUUGUGUUUAUUUCUUUAAACAAAAUUUUUACUGCCUGACCACAAGCAUGUAUUAAUUUUACAAUUUACUGAAUGCCAUGAAAAAUGAGGAAUGCUGUCCCCUUGUAAUAAUGAAGUAUAUAUUUCUAAUGGGUUUCCCAUCUUUGUAUUGUUCAUAAAGACUUUGUUUCAUUGAUUAUAACUGAGGCAAAUAAAUUCUAUGGCGAAUUCAUAUCCUUUCCUGUAAGAAAACUGGGGUCAGUAUGAAAAGCAUGUUCAAGAUUUUAAUCUUUUCUUUGUGGCAGCCGUAUUCUGUAGUGUGUGAUUGGCUGCUAAUUAGUCUAUUGACUAUAUAAUUCAACAAUAGGAAUUGGGAAAGACUGUUGAUGAAGUAGCGUUUACGAGGAUUUGUCUGUUUUUUGCUUGAAUAGUUCG